UACGGGGGGCAAGGCGUUGUUCGGUAAUUCGAUCUUGGGGCGUAAAAGGGCUCGUAGGCGGCCUAACUAAGUCAGACGUGAAAUCCCCCGCUUAACCUGGGAACUGCGUCUGAUAACUGGAAGGCUUGAGUAUGGGAGAGGGAUGUAGAAUUCCAGGUGUAGCGGUAGAAAUGCGUAGAUAUCUGGAGGAAUACCGGUGGCGAAGGCGGCAUCCUGGACCAUUACUGGACGCUGAGGCGCGAAAGCUAAGG
rnacentral:rRNA from 1 species